rnacentral:lncRNA from 1 species
ACUAAUGAGCCUCAUUUACUCGACCAUUUCACUGAAUGGGUGGAUAUUCAGAUGUUUUCAGUUUUUUGACACCAUAGCUAAGUCUUAAUAAAUAUCUUGUUCAUAUAUUCUUCUUAACUGAUGCUCUUAAUUCUAUAGGCUAGUGUACACCUUAAAUAUAUACAAUUUUUAUUUUUCAAUCAUACCUCAAUAAACCUGAAAAAAAGUCAUUCAGAAAGGAAUCAAACAGUAGAUACUAGCAUUAAAAAUAUGUUAUAAAUUUUCAAGCCUAGAAUGAUAACAUAAGAUUAGGAACAAGAAUAUGUGUGUAUAGAUUUUAACAUUUAUAUCUGUGAAUAUUAAUCGAUAUAUACAGAUCUUGAAGGCAAGUUACAAUCGUGAAGAAAAUGAAAAUUAUGUUGUGUACCUAUAAUAUGAAAAUAAAAAAUCACACAAAGGCAUAUACC